rnacentral:rRNA from 1 species
UUGGAGGGCAAGUCUGGUGCCAGCAGCCGCGGUAAUUCCAGCUCCAAUAGCGUACAUUAAAGUUGUUGCAGUUAAAAAGCUCGUAGUUGAAUUUCGGGGUCAGUAGGCUGGUCGUGCCUCAGGUACGUACUGGUCUUACUGAUUCCUCCUUCCUGACGAACCGUAAUGCCAUUAAUUUGGUGUUGCGGGGAAUCUGGACUGUUACUUUGAAAAAAUUAGAGUGUUUAAAGCAGGCUAACGCUUGAAUACAUUAGCAUGGAAUAAUGAAAUAGGACGAUCGAUCCUAUUUUGUUGGUUUCUAGGAUUGACGUAAUGAUUAAUAGGGAUAGUUGGGGGCAUUAGUAUUCAAUUGUCAGAGGUGAAAUUCUUGGAUUUAUUGAAGACUAACUACUGCGAAAGCAUUUGCCAAGGAUGUUUUCAUUAAUCAAGAACGAAAGUUAGGGGAUCGAAGACGAUCAGAUACCGUCGUAGUCUUAACCAUAAACUAUGCCGACUAGGGAUCGGAUGAUGUUAAUUUUUUAAUGACUCAUUCGGCGCCUUACGGGAAA